GGAGAGGUGGUAGAGUGGUCGAUUGCACCGCACUCGAAAUGCGGAGUACCUUCACGGGUACCGUGGGUUCGAAUCCCACCCUCUCCGCCA
rnacentral:tRNA from 1 species